CCUACGGGUGGCAGCAGUGGGGAAUAUUGCACAAUGGGCGAAAGUCUGAUGCAGCAACGCCGCGUGCGCGAUGACGGCCUUCGGGUCGUAAAGCUCUGUUCUCACGGAAGAUAAUGACGGUACUUGUGGUGGACGCCCCGGUUAACUACGUGCCAGCUGCCGCGGUAAUACGUAGGGGGCUAGCGUAAUCCGGAGUUACUGGGCGUAAGGGGUGCGUAGGUGGUUUCUUAAGUCAGAGGUGAAAGGCUACGGCUCAACCGUAGUAAGCCUUUGAUACUGUGAAACUUGAGUGCAGGAGAGGAGAGUGGAAUUCCUAGUGUAGCGGUGAAAUGCGUAGAUAUUAGGAGGAACACCAGUUGCGAAGGCGGCUCUCUGGACUGUAACUGACACUGAGGCACGAAAGCGUGGGGAGCAAACAGGAUUAGAUACCCGAGUAGUC
rnacentral:rRNA from 1 species